UCUCUCCCGUAUCUCAUCGCUGCGUCGGUGCAGGUCAACAAGGUUUUUCAAGAGGACAAGUGCAAAGCAGUCGGAUCUAUUCCAGACAAAGCACCAUGGAAACACUCUGCUGGGCGAUGAGGGGAAGUGGAGCAGAUAGGCCAUCAUAAGAAUAAUGAGUUGGAAGCUCUAAAGAAGGGGUGAUUCAUACAUUUUAAUUUAUGAUUGGGUUCUUAUGUGGUGGAGUGUUUUACCAUCAAAGAUAGCAUAAAAAUAUAGCAUAUUUACCAA